AUCUUUUUGUAGUCCAUAAACAUGAUGAUUGGGUAUUCACUCUCCUGUGUGAGAUGUGCCUCUCAAACCUUGCUGCAACUCUGCACAUUACUUGUCUGAUG